rnacentral:rRNA from 1 species
CAGUCGCCGCGGUAAAACGAAGGGUGCAAGCGUUAAUCGGAAUUACUGGGCGUAAAGCGUGCGUAGGCGGUUUGUUAAGUCUGUUGUGAAAUCCCCGGGCUCAACCUGGGAAUGGCAAUGGAUACUGGCAAGCUAGAGUGAGUCAGAGGAUGGUGGAAUUCCCGGUGUAGCGGUGAAAUGCGUAGAGAUCGGAAGGAACAUCAGUGGCGAAGGCGGCCAUCUGGGACAACACUGACGCUGAGGCACGAAAGCGUGGGGAGCAAACAGGAUUAGAUACCCCUGUAGUCCCUGUCUCUUAUAC